ensembl:lncRNA
AAAAACAUGCCUUGGUGCUGUUAGCAUUGUGUUUUCCUGGGGGAAAAAGUGGAGAUUCUGCUCUGAUUACAUGUGUUAAAGAAGAAAAAGAGAGAUGUUGGUGGAGAUGACUGCAGAGUGGGCUUGUCCUCAGCACUUUCCUACAGCAUCCUUGUUCGUGGAGGCUACUGAAGGUGUGCUAAAAGCUUGCUUAAACACAACAAUCACAUUCAGCACUGUAAAAUUAGCACAAUAAGCACACUUCUUCUGAACAAUCAUGUACAGCAGCCCGUGGAGAAAAUUCAACGUGAACUGUAUCUAUAAGGA